CCUACGGGUGGCUGCAGUGGGGAAUAUUGGACAAUGGGGGCAACCCUGAUCCAGCCAUGCCGCGUGUGUGAAGAAGGCCCUCGGGUUGUAAGGCACUUUCAGUGAGGAAGAACGCCUGGUGGUUAAUACCCAUCAGGAAAGACAUCACUCACAGAAGAAGCACCGGCUAACUCCGUGCCAGCAGCCGCGGUAAUACGGAGGGUGCGAGCGUUAAUCGGAAUUACUGGGCGUAAAGCGCGCGUAGGUGGCUUGAUAAGCCGGUUGUGAAAGCCCCGGGCGCAACCUGGGAACGGCAUCCGGAACUGUCAAGCUAGAGUGCAGGAGAGGAAGGUAGAAUUCCCGGUGUAGCGGUGAAAUGCGUAGAGAUCGGGAGGAAUACCAGUGGCGAAGGCGGCCUUCUGGACUGACACUGACACUGAGGUGCGAAAGCGUGGGUAGCAAACAGGAUUAGAUACCCCGGUAGUC
rnacentral:rRNA from 1 species